rnacentral:lncRNA from 1 species
AUUUCUGCCGUCGGAAAACUUGAACACCUGAGCAAUGGCAAUUAGCUUCUUCAGAUAGACGCCGUGAGGGCUCCACGAGAGG